rnacentral:rRNA from 1 species
UACGGGGGGGGCAAGCGUUGUUCGGAAUUACUGGGUGUAAAGGGCUUGUAGGUGGCCAACUAAGUCAGACGUGAAAUCCCCCGGCUUAACCGGGGAACUGCGUCUGAUACUGGAUGGCUAGAGAUUGGGAGAGGGACGCGGAAUUCCAGGUGUAGCGGUGAAAUGCGUAGAUAUCUGGAGGAACACCGGUGGCGAAGGCGGCGUCCUGGACCAACACUGACACUGAAAAGCGAAAGCCAGGGGAGCAAACGGG